GACGAACGCUGGCGGCGUGCCUAAUACAUGCAAGUCGAACGCAGUGGGGACGGGUGAGUCACACGUGGGUACUCUCCCAUCAGAGGGGAUAACACUUGGAAACAGGUGCUAAACCGAUCCUGAUGGAUGGACGCGGGGUGCAUUAGCUGGUUGGUGAGGUAACGGCUCACCAAGGCGACGAUGCAUAGCCGACCGGUGAGGGGGACCGGCCAAAUGGGGACUGAAACACGGCCCAGACUCCUAGGGAAGGCGGCAGUAGGGAAUCUGCGGCAAUGGACGAAAGUCUGACCGAGCAAGGCCGCGGGGGUAAAGAAGUUUUUCGGAUCGUAAAACUCGUUUGUUAGAGAAGCGGUAUCUAACCAGAAAGCCACGGCUAACUACGUGCCAGCAGCCGCGGUAAUUC
rnacentral:rRNA from 1 species